GCUGCUACCAUUAGUUCUUUGGUUAAAACAGAAGGAAAAUAGAGAAAGAGGGGAUUAGAGAUGAUAGUAUUUUCAGUCAGAAAUCUAGAGAAAAUCUAACUAGAGGAAGAUGAUCUAUUGAUAACCCAAUUUGGAAGAAAAGAUUUCAAACAGUGGAAAGAGAAAGAGAACUGUGUUGGUGGCUAUAGUGUUCCAACAAAUUGAGACUUGAAGCAUCCCAACCCGACAUAAAAAUGAAGCAUCAGCAUUAUCAUUAGCACUCAGAUUAGAGGAGCAUUUUGUUUGAUAGCUAAACUAUAAGAGCAUUUUGCAUGCUAGUUAAGUGAGAGAAGCAUUUCUUCUUAUCAUGUUAGCUAGUGAGAGGAGUAUUUUAGGUUAUGUUAUGUAUUUUGGAUUGUUCAAACCAAAAAAUAUGAAUGUAUUAUACUUUUAAGCUACAUGUAUAAAGUUAUGGAUUGAUGAGUAAAAGCUUAAUGUUGUUUUAA